rnacentral:ncRNA from 1 species
UUCCGGAGAGGGAGCCUGAGAAACGGCUACCACAUCCAAGGAAGGCAGCAGGCGCGCAAAUUACCCAUUCCCGACGCGGGGAGGUAGUGACGAAAAAUAACAAUGCAGGACUCGUUCGAGGCCCUGUAAUUGGAAUGAGUACACUUUAAAAGCUUUAACGAGUAUCCAUUGGAGGGCAAGUCUGGUGCCAGCAGCCGCGGUAAUUCCAGCUCCAAAAGUAUAUAUUUAAGUUGUUGCGGUUAAAAAGCUCGUAGUUGGAUUUUGGGCGCAGGCGGCCGGUCCGUCGCAAGGCGUGUACUGGACGUCCUGGCCUUCCCUCCGGUUCUCCGCCGGUGCUCUUGACUGAGUGUCGGCGGCGGCCGGAACGUUUACUUUGAAAAAAUUAGAGUGUUCAAAGCAGGCUCUCGAGCCUGGAUAAUGGUGCAUGGAAUAAUGGAAUAGGACCUCGGUUCUAUUUUGUUGGUUUUCUGAGCGCGAGGUAAUGAUUAAGAGGGACAGACGGGGGCAUUCGUACUGUGCCGUUAGAGGUGAAAUUCUUGGAUCGGCGCAAGACGAACGACUGCGAAAGCAUUUGCCAAGAAUGUUUUCUUUAAUCAAGAGCGAAAGUCAGAGGUUCGAAGACGAUCAGAUACCGUCCUAGUUCUGACUAUAAACGAUGCCAACUAGCGAUCGGGGGGCGUUACAUUGACGACCCCUCCGGCAGCUUACGGGAAACCAAAGUCUUUGGGUUCCGGGGGAAGUAUGGUUGCAAAGCUGAAACUUAAAGGAAUUGACGGAAGGGCACCACCAGGAGUGGAGCCUGCGGCUUAAUUUGACUCA